rnacentral:rRNA from 1 species
GGCAGUUAGGGAGUCCUNUAUCCUCUUCCGUGUUGUUCACGCUCUCUUAUCGCNAAGAGGACGGAUGAUCAGGUGUGUGGGAUGUCGCCGGGCGAAAACUCCCGAGCCAACACAUCCGCGCUAAAACCGCUAGGUGAGACAAAGGGGUGGUGCGCGAAAUUAUUUGGAUGAUUAAAUAGCGUAUUAAAAGGGUUUUUCACGCUCUUGUUUCUCAAAGCCCCAAGGAAUCAACCCCGGGUUCUCCCCGGCUGUAUCGGGCUAGUUAGGAAUUCGGUAAGGGUUGGUGUGGGAGUAAUUGGUUUUUCGGGUGUGAGGCGCAGAUAUCCGGAGAAACAGGAGAGGCGCGGGGGGGAAAUGGGGGUUUUUUUGGGCCAUUGAGGAGCGAAAAGAGUAAAAAAGCGAGAAGGGAAAAGAUAUUUUGGUUCUCCUUUUUCUCCCACCGUUAACCCGUGGGCGUGGGGGGGGGGGGCAAAUUUGUCCGUGGCGCAGGGAACGAAAUUAAAGAUAAAAACCCCCCGAGUGGGGGGCGCACGGGCUAAAAAUUAAAAAGAAAAAAAAAAGGGGGCGGGGCCCCCCCCCCCGAGCGGGGGGCUUUUUUUUUUUUUUUUCGCGAAGAACCAAAAAACUUUCUUGACAUACACCAGAAACCAUCAGAGAUGGUGGCCCCCCUCCCCUCGGUGUACAGGUAAAGCAUGGCUGUCGUCAGCUCGUCUCGUGAGAUGUUGGGUUAAGUGUUACAACGAGCGCAACCCCUAUCCCGUGUUCCAGCAGGCCCCUGUGGUGCUGGGGGGGCACGGGAAACCGACGGCCUCAGCGUAUAGCUACGAGGUCACGACUUCAAGUCAUCAGCCCUCUUAUGUCUUUGGCUGCACCCCUGCUACAAUGGCCGGUACAAUGAGCUGCGAUACCGCGAGGUGGAGCGAAUCUCAAAAAGCCGGUCUCAGUUCGGAUUGGGGUCUGCAACUCGACCCCAUGAAGUCGGAGUCGCUAGUAAUCGCAGAUCAGCAUUGCUGCGGUGAAUACGUUCCCGGGCCUUGUACACACCGCCCGUCACGUCACGAAAGUCGGUAACACCCGAAGCCGGUGUCCCAACCCCUUAG